GCGCCGUUGGUGUAAAGCGUAGCAUUGCUGCCCGGAAAGCAGAAGGUGCGGGUUCCAGCCCUGCCUGGCGCU
rnacentral:tRNA from 1 species